GCACCAGAAGCACAGCCCGGCAGCAGAGCCCCUGCCCCGCCACGGCCUGGCUGUCCCAGAACCUGUUGAUGAAGUUGCCCAGGUUGUUCAGCA